GACGAACGCUGGCGGCGUGCUUAACACAUGCAAGUCGAACGGGAGUAUUGAAGAAGCUUGCUUUAGAGAUACUUUAGUGGCGGACGGGUGAGUAACGCGUGAGGAGCUGUCCUAUGCAGGGGGACAACAGCUGGAAACGGCUGCUAAUACCCCAUAAGCCGAGAGGUAAAAGGAUCAAUCCGGCAGAGGAGGUACUCGCGUCCUAUCAGCUAGUAGGUGAGGUAACGGCUCACCUAGGCGAAGACGGGUAGCCGGCCUGAGAGGGCGAACGGCCACACUGGAACUGAGAUACGGUCCAGACUCCUACGGGAGGCAGCAGUGGGGAAUAUUGGGCAAUGGGGGAAACCCUGACCCAGCGACGCCGCGUGGGUGAAGAAAUCCUUCGGGAUGUAAAGCCCUGUUGUAUGGGAAGAGCGGAAGACGGUACCAUACGAGGAAGCCCCGGCAAAACUACGUG
rnacentral:rRNA from 1 species